rnacentral:SRP_RNA from 1 species
GGGUAAGUCUUGCACAACCAGCUCCCAUUAAAACUCCCCAGGACCGGAAGGUAGCAAGGAUAGGUGGUCGUAGCGGUGUGAUGUAAGUAGCUUGCCCUUU